GACGAACGCUGGCGGCGUGCUUAACACAUGCAAGUCGAACGGAAAGGCCCUGCUUUUGUGGGGUGCUCGAGUGGCGAACGGGUGAGUAACACGUGAGUAACCUGCCCUUGACUUUGGGAUAACUUCAGGAAACUGGGGCUAAUACCGGAUAGGAGCUCCUGCUGCAUGGUGGGGGUUGGAAAGUUUCGGCGGUUGGGGAUGGACUCGCGGCUUAUCAGCUUGUUGGUGGGGUAGUGGCUUACCAAGGCUUUGACGGGUAGCCGGCCUGAGAGGGUGACCGGCCACCUUGGGACGGAGAUACGGCCCAGACUCCUACGGGAGGCAGCAGUGGGGAAUAUUGCACAAUGGGCGGAAGCCUGAUGAAGCAACGCCGCGUGCGGGAUGACGGCCUUCGGGUUGUAAACCGCUUUCGCCUGUGACGAAGCGUGAGUGACGGUAAUGGGUAAAGAAGCACCGGCUAACUACGUG
rnacentral:rRNA from 1 species